UGAAGGCAGUUGCUGCAAGGCGCUGUUUAGGGUUAAACUGGUGACUGGGGCU
rnacentral:rRNA from 1 species